rnacentral:rRNA from 1 species
UAUGGUCAAGUGACUAAGCGCAUACGGUGGAUGCCUAGGCGGUAGGAGGCGAUGAAGGACGUAGUAGCCUGCGAUAAGCUUCGGGGAGCCGGCAAACAGGCUUUGAUCCGGAGAUUUCCGAAUGGGGAAACCCGGCCACUUCAGGUGGUCAUCGUACACUGAAUACAUAGGUGUACGAGGCGAACCCGGGGAACUGAAACAUCUAAGUACCCGGAGGAAAAGAAAUCAACCGAGAUUCCCUUAGUAGCGGCGAGCGAACGGGGACUAGCCCUAAAGUGCCUAUAGUUCUAGCGGAACAGUCUGGAAAGUCUGGCCAUAGACGGUGAUAGCCCCGUACGCGAAAGGGCUAUAGGUAUGAAACGAGUAGGACGGGACACGUGUUAUCUUGUCUGAAUAUGGGGGGCCCACCCUCCAAGGCUAAAUACUCCCUACCGACCGAUAGUGAACUAGUACCGUGAGGGAAAGGUUAAAAGAACCCCAGUGAGGGGAGUGAAAUAGAACCUGAAACCGUAUGCGUACAAGCAGUGGGAGCAGACUUGUUCUGUGACUGCGUACCUUUUGUAUAAUGGGUCAGCGACUUACUUCUCAGUGGCAAGGUUAACCGUAUAGGGGAGCCGUAGGGAAACCGAGUCUUAAUAGGGCGAAUCAGUCGCUGGGAGUAGACCCGAAACCGGGCGAUCUAUCCAUGGCCAGGGUGAAGGAGAGGUAACACUCUCUGGAGGCCCGAACCCACUUAUGUUGAAAAAUGAGGGGAUGAGCUGUGGAUCGGAGUGAAAGGCUAAUCAAGCCCGGAGAUAGCUGGUUCUCCCCGAAAGCUAUUUAGGUAGCGCCUCAUGUCUCACUCCUGGGGGUAGAGCACUGUUUCGGCUAGGGGGCCAUCCCGGCUUACCAACCCGAUGCAAACUCCGAAUACCAGGAAGUGCAAUCAUGGGAGACACACGGCGGGUGCUAACGUCCGUCGUGAAGAGGGAAACAACCCAGACCGCCAGCUAAGGUCCCAAAAUUACAGCUCAGUGGGAAACGAUGUGGGAAGGCCCAGACAGCCAGGAGGUUGGCUUAGAAGCAGCCAUCCUUUAAAGAAAGCGUAAUAGCUCACUGGUCGAGUCGGCCUGCGCGGAAGAUUUAACGGGGCUCAAGCUGUAUACCGAAGCUGCGGAUGCCGCAAGGCAUGGUAGGGGAGCGUUCUGUAGGCCUGCGAAGGUGUGCUGUAAGGCAUGCUGGAGGUAUCAGAAGUGCGAAUGCUGACAUGAGUAACGAUAAUGGGGGUGAAAAACCCCCACGCCGAAAACCCAAGGUUUCCUACGCAACGUUAAUCGGCGUAGGGUGAGUCGGCCCCUAAGGCGAGGCAGAAAUGCGUAGCCGAUGGGAAACAGGUUAAUAUUCCUGUACCACUUAUAACUGCGAUGGGGGGACGGAGAAGGCUAGGCCAGCCGGGCGUUGGAUGUCCCGGUUUAAGCAAGUAGGUAGGCCCUUUAGGUAAAUCCGGGGGUUAUUACUGAGAUGCGAUGACGAGCCCUCUUUUGGGCGAAGUGGUUGAUGCCAUACUUCCAGGAAAAGCCUCUAAGCUUCAGGUUAUAUGUGACCGUACCCCAAACCGACACAGGUGGGUGAGGAGAGAAUCCUAAGGCGCUUGAGAGAACUCGGGUGAAGGAACUAGGCAAAAUAGCACCGUAACUUCGGGAGAAGGUGUGCCUCUGUUAGGUGAAGCGACUUGCUCGUGGAGCUGAAGGAGGUUGCAGUGACCAGGUGGCUGCGACUGUUUACUAAAAACAUAGCACUCUGCUAACUCGAAAGAGGACGUAUAGGGUGUGACGCCUGCCCGGUGCCGGAAGGUUAAUUGAUGGGGUUAGUCCUCGGACGAAGCUCUUGAUCGAAGCCCCGGUAAACGGCGGCCGUAACUAUAACGGUCCUAAGGUAGCGAAAUUCCUUGUCGGGUAAGUUCCGACCUGCACGAAUGGCGUAACGAUGGCCACGCUGUCUCCACCCGAGACUCAGUGAAAUUGAAUUCGCUGUUAAGAUGCAGCGUACCCGCGGCUAGACGGAAAGACCCCGUGAACCUUUACUAUAGCUUCACACUGAACUUUGAGCCUACUUGUGUAGGAUAGCUGGGAGGCUUUGAAACCGAGACGCCAGUUUCGGUGGAGCCAUCCUUGAAAUACCAGCCUGGUAUGUUUGAGGUUCUAACCCAGGCCCGUUAUCCGGGUCGGGGACAGUGUGUGGUGGGUAGUUUGACUGGGGCGGUCUCCUCCCAAAAGGUAACGGAGGAGCACGAAGGUACCCUCAGCACGGUCGGACAUCGUGCAUUGAGUGCAAAGGCAUAAGGGUGCUUGACUGCGAGACAGACAUGUCGAGCAGGUACGAAAGUAGGUCUUAGUGAUCCGGUGGCUCUUAGUGGUAGGGCCAUCGCUCAACGGAUAAAAGGUACUCCGGGGAUAACAGGCUGAUUCUCCCCAAGAGUUCACAUCGACGGGAGAGUUUGGCACCUCGAUGUCGGCUCAUCACAUCCUGGGGCUGUAGCCGGUCCCAAGGGUAUGGCUGUUCGCCAUUUAAAGUGGUACGCGAGCUGGGUUUAGAACGUCGUGAGACAGUUCGGUCCCUAUCUGCCGUGGGCGUUUGAGACUUGAGAGGAGCUGCUCCUAGUACGAGAGGACCGGAGUGGACGUUCCUCUGGUGUUCCGGUUGUCACGCCAGUGGCAUUGCCGGGUAGCUAAGAACGGAAGGGAUAACCGCUGAAAGCAUCUAAGCGGGAAGCCCCCCUCAAGAUGAGGUCUCACCAGUGACUUGAUCACUCUAAAGGGCCGUUGAAGACUACAACGUUGAUAGGCUGGGUGUGGAAGUGCAGUAAUGUAUGAAGCUAACCAGUACUAAUUGCCCGUGAGGCUUGACCAUA